rnacentral:rRNA from 1 species
GACGUAGGGCGCGAGCGUUGUCCGGAUUUAUUGGGCGUAAAGAGCUCGUAGGCGGCUUGUUGCGUCGACCGUGAAAACUUGGGGCUUAACCUUAAGCUUGCGGUUGAUACGGGCAGGCUAGAGUUCGGUAGGGGAGACUGGAAUUCCUGGUGUAGCGGUGAAAUGCGCAGAUAUCAGGAGGAACACCGGUGGCGAAGGCGGGUCUCUGGGCCGAUACUGACGCUGAGGCGCGAAAGCCAGGGGAGCGAACGGG